rnacentral:lncRNA from 1 species
GAUGUGAUCUACUGCUCACAUGCAUGCAUGCUGAUUUUAUCUUCAGUAUUUUUUAGAUUUUAUAUGCAACAUAACAUAUCAUAGAUCCUAGAGUAGAUUGAUUUGAUGAUUAGAUCAUAUACAUGUUAGAUUAAUUUGAUUAAUCUAAUUAUCUUUCACUAUAAUUUUUUUAAAAAAAUUUCGAAAUACAUGCAUAAAAUCAUCUUCUCAUCCCAAC